rnacentral:lncRNA from 1 species
AACAGGAAACAAAAAAAAGAAAGGAAAUUCGACUUUGAUUUUAAAGUCUACAAGGUAAAAGUCAUCUUAUCACAAAUAUAUUUAUCAGGAAGGUUUGUUGACCUCCACCUUUUUGUUCCUCUCUGUGUUUAUUCAGGAAUUUACCUUGGAAUAGAUUUAUCUCACAUUCUUCACCUUUUUCUCUAAACCCGACGUUGAAUGGUAGGCCGAAUUCUGAGCUUACGACGAUCAAUUGUCAGUUCCGCAGCGUUGUAAUUUUGAAACCAACUCAGAAGACAAGGGAACUCUUGGAUCAAGAAUUCGGACAAAAUGGUCUUCGUGGAGUUUUGAUGGAACUAACCGCAUUUGCACCACACGGAGAGAAACACGCUGAGAACGUCCCAUGGUUAUCCCGACGGUCAGAGGAUUCUAACCCAUGAUCACCAUUGAGGGUAAAUUUGGUAUCGCUAUCCAACAUCGUUCUCAGUAAUAUCAAAACAGAACAAGAACUACGAUUAUUUACAUUCAUAAAAUAUGAUAAUAAAAUCUUUCAAUGAUU